GACGACGCAACGCCGCGUGGAGGACGAAGAUCUUCGGGCCGUAAACUCCUGUCGAGCGGAACGAACGCCUCGCGGAUGAACAAUCCGCGGGGGUGACGGUACCGCUAAAGGAAGCCCCGGCUAACUCCGUGCCAGCAGCCGCGGUAAUACGGGGGGGGCAAGCGUUGUUCGGAAUUACUGGGCGUAAAGGGCUCGUAGGUGGCCAACUAAGUCAGACGUGAAAUCCCCAGGCUCAACUUGGGAACCGCGUCUGAUACUGGAUGGCUUGAAUUCGGGAGAGGGAUGCAGAAUUCCAGGUGUAGCGGUGAAAUGCGUAGAUAUCUGGAGGAAUACCGGUGGCGAAGGCGGCAUCCUGGACCGAGAUUGACACUGAGGAGCGAAAGCCAGGGGAGCAAACGGGAUUAGAUACCCCGGUAGUCCUGGCCCUAAACGAUGAAUGCUUGGUGUGACGGGUAUCGAUCCCUGUCGUGCCGAAGCUAACGCAUUAAGCAUUCCGCCUGGGGAGUACGGUCGCAAGACUG
rnacentral:rRNA from 1 species